AGGAGCCGUAUGAGGCAGAAAUCUCACGUACGGUUCUAUGGAGGGGAAGUAAGUGUGAGAUAUUUGCUGACUUUUCC
rnacentral:ncRNA from 1 species